UGAGUCGGUCAGACGGCCGCGUCGCCAGGUUCGCCUGGUGCCGAGGAACGUCCGGGCUCCACAGGGCAAGGUGAUGGUUAACGGCCAUCCGGGGCGACCCGCGGGACAGUGCCACAGAAAGCAGACCGCCACCGGUUCGCCGGUGGUAAGGGUGAAACGGUGGUGUAAGAGACCACCAGCGCUCCAGGUGACUGGAGCGGCUCGGUAAACCCCACCUGGAGCAAGGUCGGACAGCAUGCGUUCGAGGGCGGCCCGCCCGAGCAUGCGGGUAGACCGCUGGAGGCGGCUGGCAACAGUCGUCGUAGAUGGAUGGCCGUCACUCGGUCGCUGGCAACGGCGGCCGGGGACAGAACCCGGCGUACCGACCGACUCAUCCC
rnacentral:RNase_P_RNA from 1 species